UACGGAGGGAGCUAGCGUUGUUCGGAAUUACUGGGCGUAAAGCGCACGUAGGCGGCUUUCUAAGUCGGAGGUGAAAUCCUGGAGCUCAACUCCAGAACUGCCUUCGAUACUGGAGAGCUCGAGUCCGGGAGAGGUGAGUGGAACUGCGAGUGUAGAGGUGAAAUUCGUAGAUAUUCGCAAGAACACCAGUGGCGAAGGCGGCUCACUGGCCCGGUACUGACGCUGAGGUGCGAAAGCGUGGGGAGCAAACAGGG
rnacentral:rRNA from 1 species